rnacentral:rRNA from 1 species
UUACUAGGAUUAGAUACCCUAUUAUUAAAAAAUUAAAGAAAUAAUACUAAAAGAGUAAGUAAAAUUUUAUUGAAACUUAAAUAACUUGGCGGUAUUUUAGUUCAUUCAGAGGAAUCUGUUUAUUAAUUGAUAAUCCACGAAUAAAUUUACUUAAUUUAUUAUUUUGUAUAUCGUUGUUUAAAAAAUAUUUUUUAAUAAUUAAUAAUAUUUUAAAUUUUAAAUAAAAAAUUAAAUCAGAUCAAGAUGCAGAUUAUAAUUAAGAAUAUAAUGGAUUACAAUAAAUUUAUUUAUUAUGAAUUUUAAGUAGAAUAAUUUAAUUGAAAGUGGAUUUGAAUGUAAUUUUAUUUAAAUUAAUAAGAUGAUUUAUAAUUAAAAUAUGUACAUAUGGCCCC